AUAAGGAGAAAACAUUCAGAGAGGAGGAAGAGGGGUUUAAUAAGGAGAAAACAUUCAGAGAGGAGGAAGAGGGGAAGAGGGGUUUAAUAAGGAGAAAACAUUCAGAGAGGAGGAAGAGGGGUUUAAUAAGGAGAAAACAUUCAGAGAGGAGGAAGAGGGGUUAAUAAGGAGAAAACAUUCAGAGAGGAGGAAGAGGGGUUUAAUAAGGAGAAAACAUUCAGGGAGGAGGAAGGGGUUUAAUAAGGAGAAAACAUUCAGAGAGGAGGAAGAGGGGUUUAAUAAGGAGAAAACAUUCAGAGAGGAGGAAGAGGGGUUUAAUAAGGAGAAAACAUUCAGAGAGGAGGAAGAGGGGG
ensembl:lncRNA